GAUGAACGCUGGCGGCGUGCUUAACACAUGCAAGUCGAACGAUGAAGCCCAGCUUGCUGGGUGGAUUAGUGGCGAACGGGUGAGUAACACGUGAGUAACCUGCCCUUAACUCUGGGAUAAGCCUGGGAAACUGGGUCUAAUACCGGAUAGGAGCGCCUACCGCAUGGUGGGUGUUGGAAAGAUUUAUCGGUUUUGGAUGGACUCGCGGCCUAUCAGCUUGUUGGUGGGGUAAUGGCUCACCAAGGCGACGACGGGCAGCCGGCCUGAGAGGGUGACCGGCCACACGGGGACUAAGACACGGACCAGACUCCUACGGGAGGCAGCAGUGGAGAAUAUUGCACAAUGGGCGAGAGCCUGAUGCAGCGACGCCGCGUGAGGGAUGACGGCCUUCGGGUUGUAAACCUCUUUCAGUAGGGAAGAAGCGAAAGUGACGUUACCUGCAGAAGAAGCACCGGCUAACUACGUG
rnacentral:rRNA from 1 species